rnacentral:rRNA from 1 species
GAUGAACGCUGGCGGCGUGCUUAAUGCAUGCAAGUCGAACGAGAACCUUUUUGUAGGUAACUACAGAGAGACUUCUAGUGGCGAACGGGUGAGUAACACGUGAGAAACCUGCCCCGAAGACCGGGAUAGUCCAUGGAAACGUGGAUUAAUACCGGGUACCCUCACGGAAUCGCAUGGUUCUGUGAGGAAAUGCUCCGGCGCUUUGGGAUGGUCUCGCGGCCUAUCAGCUUGUUGGUGAGGUAACGGCUCACCAAGGCACUGACGGGUAGCUGGUCUGAGAGGACGAUCAGCCACACUGGGACUGAGACACGGCCCAGACUCCUACGGGAGGCAGCAGCAGGGAAUAUUGCACAAUGGGCGCAAGCCUGAUGCAGCGACGCCGCGUGAGGGAUGAAGGCUUUCGGGUUGUAAACCUCUUUCAGUGGGGAAGAAGCGCAAGUGACGGUACCCACACAAGAAGGCCCGGCCAACUACGUG